AUCUAGCCCUGACAGAACGGCUAGCGCUGUAGCGAAGCGAAAGCCUAAUAGUGAUGGCAGGAAUAGGG
rnacentral:sRNA from 1 species